UACAGAGGGUGCGAGCGUUAAUCGGAAUUACUGGGCGUAAAGCGCGCGUAGGCGGCUUUGCAAGUCGGGUGUGAAAUCCCCAGGCUUAACCUGGGAACUGCAUUCGAGACUGCAUGGCUAGAGUAUGGGAGAGGGAAGUGGAAUUUCCGGUGUAGCGGUGAAAUGCGUAGAUAUCUGGAGGAAUACCGGUGGCGAAGGCGGCAUCCUGGACCGGCAUUGACGCUGAGGAGCGAAAGCCAGGGGAGCAAACGGG
rnacentral:rRNA from 1 species